rnacentral:rRNA from 1 species
GAUGAACGCUGGCGGCGUGCCUAAUACAUGCAAGUCGAGCGAACGGACGAGAAGCUUGCUUUUCUGAUGUUAGCGGCGGACGGGUGAGUAACACGUGGAUAACCUACCUAUAAGACUGGGAUAACUUCGGGAAACCGGAGCUAAUACCGGAUAAUAUUUUGAACCGCAUGGUUCAAAAGUGAAAGACGGUCUUGCUGUCACUUAUCGAUGGAUCCGCGCUGCAUUAGCUAGUUGGUAAGGUAACGGCUUACCAAGGCAACGAUGCAUAGCCGACCUGAGAGGGGGAUCGGCCACUCUGGAACUGAGACACGGUACAGACACCUACGGGAGGCAGAAGUAGGGAAGCUUCCGCAAUGGGGGAAAGCCUGACGGAGCAACGCAGCGUGAGUGAUGAAGGUCUUCGGAUCGUAAAACGCUGUUAUUAGGGAAGAACAUAUGUGUAAGUAACUGUGCACAUCUUGACGGUACCUAAUCAGAAAGCCACGGCUAACUACGU